UGAACUUGAGGAGAGCAGAAGACACUGUCUCCAGGACUCCUGAUGCCACGGAAGGUGCAACUGUGGGAGCCAUUUGAGCAGGCAUCGCAGGCAGCACGGCGCUCUCCCUACUUGACGGGCAAUGAGGAUGGGAGCGCUCCCGGGGGAUGUGCGCAUCCAGCAGGAAUUAAGGCUGAAGUGCUAACAGGCAGCCAUAUCUACGACCAGCAUCAACGCCGUGGUGGUUAAGUGGGAACUGAUCUGUGAUGUUCCUGUUUCGGGACCCAGCAGACCUGGCUUCCUUUCUUCGGCAUCCCAGGGCCUGUGGCUGCUACCUGAGAGCCCGUCCGGCUGUGGUGGUCCCCCUUCCAAGCUGUUCCGAGCUUUCUUGAUUUGGAUCCUGGUAUGUCUCAAUCUACUGACUUUCUACGCAGGCUGGGUGUGCACAUGGAGUGCGUUUGUCUCAGCCUACCUCUCAGGUUGCUAUGGUCUAAGAUAGUGUCUCUACAAAAUGUGUUAGAACUUAACCCCUAGAGAGACAGUGUGAAGAGAGGUGAGCAGGUCGGGAGGGGGACUCUUUCACACGAGGUGAAGAUAGUGCAGAGGAGCUGCUGAUCUUCCACCACAGCAGCAAAACGGCAUCUGCGACGUGGGGAUUCAGCUCUCAGCAACUCCAGUGCUGGCCGGCCUUGAUCUUGGAGCCCCAGACUCCAGAAUUGUGUGGUGGCUGUCCUCUUUGCUGAAAGCACCAGGCACCAGGCUAGCCGAGACCCUGCCCCAGCGCUCACUAAUGUCCAAAAGUGGUCCAGAUCUUCUGAAACCCACCUUGAAGAAGCCGCUGCUGACUCCGUUGUCAUAAGUAUAUGCUUUUAUAUUUUCAUUCAGAAGCUUCUCAGCUUUAUGUUUGGAGACUGUCACACUCUAUCUUGAAAUAUUCUGGAUUGACGACACUGUUUCCCAUGCUGUUUGUUGAAAAGGCUUUGCUGUCCCCCCGAACUGCCUCAGUGACUUUAUUGGGCACCAAGAGAUGAGAUUUCAUCAUUAGCUUUCUGCGGGGUCUGCUUUUGUUUGCUAAUCUGUCAGUUGUGUGGUUCUUCCCAGCUCUGUACGUGCCUCACUAUUUUUUAAUGUGGUGGGCAGUGUGGACAUCACGAGAGGCUCCAGUCGAGGCUGUCUUCCUGCAGAGAGUCAAGGUAUAAUCUCAUUGGAUUCCCUCAAUUCUUUAUUUGGGAGCUCUCCUUUGCCCUUGAAAAUGGUCUUGGGGAAAAGUUCUCCGCAGGCAUAUUUCUGGGGCCAUGCCUGGUGUAAGACCUCUCCACUGGACCUGGCCAGACAGACAGUGGACAGCCGAGCAGCCUGCCUCCUCUGGAAUAGCUAGGCCUCUAACAGCACACUUUUCCUCGGCCCAGAUACUUCUGCAGGUCCCUGCAUAGCGCAUAGCUCAGACCUCAAACAAAGACCUACAGCAAGGAUGCUUACAGACUUCCAGACCUUUUCUCUACAACCCAGAUUGAAAUUGUCAGCCAACGUGAUAGGACGAGACACUGGGUGUUCCCACCCCAGCCUGUCUUGAACACCCCUGUCUUAGGCCUCACCGUUCAAAACAGUGGCACAAAAAUGCCUCCGUGCCGAUCACCUCAGGGGCUUCCUCCUCUCAGAACCACAGCUGUUGCCUUGUCUAGCACCUGGGACCAUUUAUCUCAGCCCUCUACCCCACGUCCCGGAAGUCAAGCCAGUACCCAUUAUUCUUUUGUGGUUGGAAGAGACAGGAUGCCUGUGGCUUGUCUGGGCUCCGCCUGCAAGCUCUCUGACUGGCUCUCAAAUAACCUCCUCUCACCCUAAAUCAAGAAAGGAUCUGUGUGAGGCUGGAGAAAAGCUCAGUGUUAGGAGCACUGGUCCUCUUCCUGAGAAUUCCAGGUUCAAUUCCCAGCACCCACAUGAAGGCUCACAAUCAUCUGUAACUCCAGUUCUGAGGGAUCUGAUAUGAUCUCCUGGUCUCCAUACGCGUGGUACAUAGACACAGAAGAUAAUAAAAAAUAAUUUUUAAAUAAAAGAUAGAAAGGGCUUGCGGAGGUCUUAAAACACUCCGGGUCUCUGAUAGUCGGUCAAUUUUAUUUGCCUGGUAAUAUUCAAUUUGGACGCGCAUCACCACACAGAGCAAAGCCGUGAGGCUGGAGAGAUGGCCCAGCAGUUCAGAGCACUGGCUGCUCCUGUGGAGGAGUUCAUGCACCCAUGUAGCAGCUCACAACUAUCUGAUCUGCAACUACAGCUCCCGAGGAUCUAACACCUUCUCCCGGUCUCCAUGGAUACCAGGCACAUGUGGUACUCAUCCACACAAGCAAAGCACUCAUACAUAUACAACAAAUAAAUAUUAGAACAAACUUCCUUCUUCUUUGGAAAGAUGCUUCCUCACCUGACCUUGGUCACUUCCCACAAUUUGCCUUGUUUAGACCAUUAUGUACUGUGCCCCAUCCAACAGAGGAAAAGGAUUCAAUGCCCUCUUCCUCGUGGACCCGUACCAACUUGUAAGCAUGCAGAAUUUAUUGAGUCAAUGGUUCCACUGAGGAGCCAGUGUCGGGAACCUAAAACACCAACUCCUUUACAGGCAAAUGCUCGGUGUCCAAAAUGUAAUUCCUAACUGCCCUGGCCGGCAGCUUCCUGGGAUUGGGGUAACCUUGGGUCCUUUGCCUACCAUCUCUCAGCAGAGCUCUUCAGCAGUUACUCCGUUAGGAUCUGACAUCAGGUUAUGUCCUGGCUGCUUGGGAAAUGCUUGGCUUCUAAUUCCCACAGUUCGUUCAUUAAAACCAGGUCCUCACGGGCACAGGCAGGUGCCUCAGUGGGCCUUCCCCUGAGCGUCCAUUCAGCAUUCCCCCUGCUGCACGUAAUACGAACAACUCAAGUCAGCCACUAGGAGCUCAAGCUGUAUUUUUGGCACUUUAAAGGGCCGGAGUGGGAAGAUGGCUGUGUGUUUGAGGCUAACCUGGGCUACAUAGUGAGGAAGAUGGCUGUAUGUUUGAGGCUAACCUGGGCUACAUAGUGAGUCCCAGGCAAAGACUGGGCUAAAGACUGAGAGCCUGCCACAAACCAAACCAAAUGAAUCACUUGGGCAUCUCUGCAGCGACCUGGCUGAAGGUGCUCACCUGAAGGGAGCCCAGGACUGGCCUGAGGUGCUCACCCAUUGCAGAAUGCUAUGUGCUACACUCCUGUCUUCUGACAGAGUCCUUGAAACACGUGUCUGAGACUCAGCUGCAGUCUGCAGGAGGGCGGAUGUAUAGAUUUAUACCGCGGCUUGGUAUGCCCACAGCCAUGCCCAACUGUGUUAUUAGAAGUCCCUGGGACUUGGCUACUCAUGCUAGACCUGUCCACGCUGGGUUGCUCUGGCCCUUGGUGAAAUGAACCUGCUCCUGGAGAGGCUGGCCUUGUCAUUGCUCAAGUCCCUCUUGGACAUGCAUGUGUGGCACAUGCCCUGGAGCUGCCACACGAAGGAGUGAUAAUGACCUCGGAAAGAGCCGUGCUCUGCAGGUCUCUGUGGGUCACCAGCUAAGUAGUUCCUGCCGUCUCUUCCCUCUGAUACCCCAUGGGGCAUCCACCUAGCAGCCCACACCAGCCUUCUCCUUCUGGGCCUCUCCCCCAAGGCUGUCUGCUUACAGCUUUGGGCUAGCAUUCUGUCAACACCCUUACCUCCACCUCAACCACCCGUGUCCUUACUCACCUGGAUGGGAGCCUGGCGGCACCGUGUCCUUACUUCCCCAGGAUAUGAAUGUGUGGAGUUACCAAGGCUGUUGCCUCCACCCCUUAACCUGCUAACCCGGACCAGGUAGGCCACAGGUAUACUCCAGCCUCAGGCACUCUAGCAAUGGGCUCUCUUCUGGUUUGAUAACUCAGAGAUGAUUCUCUUCUGACUCCUUAAAGUGAGAUUUUUUUUUCUUUUUUC
rnacentral:sRNA from 1 species